rnacentral:rRNA from 1 species
AUUGAACGCUGGCGGCAGGCCUAACACAUGCAAGUCGAACGAGUCGCGGACGGGUGAGUAAUGGCCGGGAACCUGCCUGCGGGAUGGGGAUAACCACUGGAAACGGUAGCUACUACCGCAUUCCACCAGAUGUGCCCAGAUGGGAUUAGCUUGUUGGUGGGGUAACGGCUCACAACGGCGACGAUCCCUAGCUGGUCUGAGAGGAUGACCAGCCACACUGGAACUGAGACACGGUCCAGACUCCUACGGGAGGCAGCAGUGGGGAAUAUUGCACAAUGGGCGCAAGCCUGAUGCAGCCAUGCCGCGUGUAUGAAGAAGGCCUGCGGGUUGUAAAGUACUUUCAGCGGGGAGGCGUUACCCGCAGAAGAAGCACCGGCUAACUCCGUGCCAGCAGCCGCGGUAAUAC